rnacentral:lncRNA from 1 species
GCACUAUUCUAGACCCUUUGGAGUGGUCCCCUAUCUGCACUAUUCUAGACCCUUUGGAUGGUUAACAAACAAAUCUUUGGAUGCUACAGUACAUGGGCUCUUUGCUAUCUUUCCCAUAUUUCCUUCAUGACUCUAACCCUUUAGCACGAGGGCGUCAAACUCCACGAAGGGCCCUGUUUUUGGGGUUUUUCCCUUCGUUUAAGACCUAGACGACCAGGUGAGGGGAGUUCCUUACUAAUUAGUGACCUACAGUACCAGGUGAGGGGAGUUCCUUACUAAUUAGUGACCUAGACUACCAGGUGAGGGGAGUUCCUUACUAAUUAGUGACCUAGACGACCAGGUGAGGGGAGAUCCUUACUAAUUAGUGACCAAGACAACCAGGUGAGGGGAGUUCCUUACUAAUUAGUGACCAAGACAACCAGGUGAGGGGAGUUCCUUACUAAUUAGUGACAUUAAUCAAUCAAGCACAAGGGUGGAGCGAAAUUCAAUUCAAAGGGCUUUAUUGAGAAACAUAUGUUAACAUUGCCAAAGCAAGUAAUAUAGAUAAUAAACAAAAGGGAAAUAAACAAUAAAAAAUGUACAGUAAACUUUACACUCACAGAAGUUCCAAAAGAGUAAAGACAUUUCAAAUGUCAUUGUCUAUAUACAGUCUUGUAACGAUGUGCAAAUAGUUAAAGUACUAAAGGGAAAAUAAAUAAAAACAGAUAUAGGUUGUUACAGUGGUGUUUGUUCUUCACUGGUUGACAUCAUGCUGCUGUGACUGCCAAAUAGCUUUUUAGUUUGCUCAGUUUUUUUUUCUCUCCAAUAUGUCAAGUAAUUAUCUUUUUAUUUUUCUCAUGAUUUGGUUGGGUCUAAUUGUGUUGCUGUCCUGGGGCUCUGUGGGGUCUAUUUGUGUUAUUGGCAUGGGAAACAUAUGUUUACAUUUCCAAGGC